UAUCAAUAUGUAUGUUCAGCUCUAAACCAUUUCAAAAACCAAUUAAUUAAAUCCGAUUUAAUGAAAAUAUCUGUCACUGUUACACGUUUGCGUUGAAUAAAAGGAAUAUGUAAAUACUUCCAUCUUUACUAUAUCCAAAAACUUAACUGUAUAUCACUACAUUAGAUCAGACACUAUAAUUGCAUUCACAGAACACUUGUUUAUAAAAACAAAAUCCUCCAAACUACGUUAUUGCAGGCACUGGUUUUGAAAUGAAAAUAAGUAAAAUGUUUCAUGCUUUUUAUAUAGAGGAAAAGAAGUUGCUUAAUAUAGCAAAUGAAUAGCAU
rnacentral:lncRNA from 1 species